GUAGUUUCCCGUAUCAAUUAUUUUGGUUAUUGCAGGGGAUUUUUUAAAAUGCUGGGAUUACUUACCAGUCGGAGUCAUAUACUCGUAAUAUCGAAACAGUUCACUUACAAUCCAUCUGCAACAUUGCAACAACAUCAUGAAGAACCAAAUCUUAGUUCUUGCAUUUAUUUUAUUAAUAACAUGCAGCGUAGUAACCAAUUCUGCUCCAUCUUAUGAAGGAGGGUUGAUGGUGCGAUCUAAACGCGAAAUUUCCUGCCAAGCUGCAUCGUCUAGACCUAAUGAUCCGAAGUCAUACAAUGAAGCAUGCAGAGCACAUUGCAUAUUAAAUGGCAAAAACACCGGGGCUUGCGCUGGCGGAUACUGCUUCUGUGCUUAAUUGUUUUUCAAAAUAACAUUUCUUGGUCUAAGUAUUAGUACGUAAGGUUUCAUUGUUUAAUUGGUUUAUAUCUAGUAUAUUCUAACAAACUAUUUGCAGAAUUAGAGCAGUAUAGUUUUAGGUGGCACACUUUGAAUACUUUUACACGCUUAUAUGGCUCUCAAUAUUCAUGAUUCAUUUCA